CAGGGCAAAGGGGUUGGUAUGGCUAUACGUGGGAAGUUUGGCAGAGCAUGUGCCAUAGUGUUCAGCUCUGACCUUGCUUCCUGUAUUGCCCAGCUAAACUCGUUUCUG
ensembl:miRNA gga-mir-1809 gga-mir-1809